CCCAGACUCCUACGGGAGGCAGCAGUGGGGGAUAUUGCACAAUGGGGGGAACCCUGAUGCAGCGACGCCGCGUGGGUGAAGAAGUAUUUCGGUAUGUAAAGCCCUAUCGGCAGGGGAGAAUUUAGACGGUACCUGACUAAGAAGCCCCGGCUAACUACGUGCCAGCAGCCGCGGGAAUACGUAGGGGGCAAGCGUUAUCCGGAUUCACUGGGUGUAAAGGGAGCGUAGACGGCCAUGCAAGCCUGGAGUGAAAGCCCGCGGCCCAACUGCGGGACUGCUUUGGAAACUGCCCGGCUAGAGUGCUGGAGAGGUAAGCGGAAUUCCUAGUGUAGCGGUGAAAUGCGUAGAUAUUAGGAGGAACACCAGUGGCGAAGGCGGCUUACUGGACAGUAACUGACGUUGAGGCUCGAAAGCGUGGGGAGCAAACAGGAUUAGAUACCCCGGUAGC
rnacentral:rRNA from 1 species